CUCCCCAUAGACUGGACAGAGGGUCUUAACGUCAAAAAACAGGUUACCUCUACAAACUACAAUGAGUCAUUAAAUACAUACAAGGUGAAGUGUGGAGGGAGCCUGGAGAUGUGGGAGGAGAGUGGGUGGAUCCACAAACAGGACCCCUACGGCUGGUUCCAGUGGUACUGCAGAUUUUAUCGAGGAAGGAGGAGCCCUGAUGAUGAGCGACAGGUGGGGAGAUGGCUGAGGUGUGCAGGACCCACAGAAAGGUGGAAAAACAACCUCAUCUCCAAGUGUUACCGAAGCGGGGCACGGUAU